AAACCAGCACCUCAAGUGGUCAGGAUGAUUAUUGGGCCUAAAGCAUCCGUAGCCGGCUCUGUAAGUUUUCGGUUAAAUCUGUACGCUCAACGUACAGGCUGCUGGGAAUACUGCAGGGCUAGGGAGUGCGAGAGAUAGACGGUACUCGGGAGGAAGUGGUAAAAUGCUUUGAUCUCUCGAUGACCACCUGUGGCGAAGGCGGUCUAUCAGAACACGUCCGACGGUGAGGGAUGAAAGCUGGGGGAGCAAACCGGAUUAGAAACCCUGGUAGUCC
rnacentral:rRNA from 1 species